CCGUCCUUCCCUCUGGGAACUCAGUGAAUCACACCUCCGCAGCGCAUUUGGCUCUUGCAAGCCCUGAAGGGCUGGAGCCUUGUGCCUGCCAGCGCUGAGGAGGAGCUGCAGCCCAACUUCUGAGCAUGGAUCAUGUCGGGACCCUGGAAUUUCUGAGGGCCCUUCCAGGAGCAGAGGUUUUGGAAGGUGGGCAAGCAAAGGAAGAGCGGAGGACUGGUUCUCCCCCUGCAUCUCCUCCCAUGACCUCAGAUAAGUCAAUCCCACCCAGGUCCUGCAGGAGCUGAGCAGUAGACAUUGAUGAGUGAGCCUCAUGACGGCCAAUUAACACAGCCAAGCCUCUUGCAUUGAGGAGGAGGAGAGAGAGAGGGAAGAAAGAGGAACAAUCACAACAAAAAUUCAACACUUCCACUUCUCCUUGGCCCACGAGCCCUUUCCUUUCCUCAGGAAAUAACGUCUUUCGUACCCUCGGAGUCCAUAUUAAAGAAUGUGAAUGGAAUAUUGGAUAUCCAGGCAGCAUGGCUGAAUUAAUGGCACAUGUCACUGUCCUCUUGCCCAGACGUUUAUCUGAAAACAGGGGCCACCAUAAGCUCCCACCCACUGGGUGCUGAGGAAGGACGGAAUCUGCAUGUGAAGUUGAAGGUUCAGGGCAGGAAGAUCUGUAGACCUAAGAUUCCAGGCCUCUGCUGGGUGAGUAUGGGCCAGUGCCUGUGGCCACAAAAUGCAUGGGAAGGAAAAAAAAAAAGCCUAGAAACAAUUUAGAUUCUAUUACUAACAAUUGUUGAGAGGUUGAAUAACUAGGUAGAAAAUGCAUGAACAAGGCCUAUGUUGGCAAAAUGAGAUUUGAAAAAACCUAAAAGCUAAUAUUAAAGGAAAGAUGAGCCCAGAUUGUGUUUGGAAUAGUAAAUACACUCUAAAGUAAAACCAAAGGGGAAAACUGCCAAGAAAAUAAAUAGAAAACCUUGGAAGAAAGAAGAAAUAAGACGUUUUGGCAGUGGGUUAAUUUCCCCAUCUUAUUUUAGCAUUCUCCUAUUAUAUUCUUGUUUGGGUAAUAUAUAAUGUCUUUAAAUUCCAAAAAUUACUUAAUGUCAAUCUUUGUGAAAUACCAAAUGCAUUGCAGCUUUACCAUUUUCCCUCAGAGUCUGCUUUCUUCAUGUUGUCUCCACAGGAGGCAUUUUUAACACCCAGCUGUGAGCAGUCCCCGCUGCCAGCCAGCCGCGUGGGGAGGGGUCUCAUUCCUGCGGGCAUCCCCCUUCCUACUCUUCCUGUUAGCCUCUUUUCUCGUCUCACUUUGGCUUGCUACAUGGCAUGCCUCUUUGUGAGCUGACAAUUUAUACCUGAGGCAGGAUAUAAAUUCAUAUUUUUUCUUAUUUUUCCCUGGCUUCACUUGGACACUUUAUGUGAGGGAUCUAUUUAUGAAAGCAAAGCAUUUCGGAUGGAUGGGAGGAAAUUCUCCUCGGGGAAUCUGGAAUGCAUGGGGCGUCCCUGUGACUGGAGAAACCCUGCUAGAGGACAGCGAAGGACACGGUCAGCACCCGCAGGACAGAGGCCGCCCGGGGACGCAUGCUGAUGCACCUGUGUGCGCCCAUCCUUGUAGCCCCGGGGUACCCACAGCCGGGACCUUGCCCUUCCCAGAAACAACAACCCUCAGCUGGUGGCUCAAAAGACACGUGCUGCUUACUCAGAAAGAGGAAGGGAAGACGAUGGGAGUCUUUUAUGGUGACCUGGAGAAUGAUAUUGCAAACCGACAUGAAAAAACAAACGAGGCAAAUAACUUUACAUUUCUAAGGAUACACAAGGGUAACUUGUCAGAUGAGAACAUCCUCCUGCCAGUGCCAAACAACACAGGAAACCAGG